AGUGAACGCUGGCGGUAGGCCUAACACAUGCAAGUCGAACGGCAGCACAGUAAGAGCUUGCUCUUACGGGUGGCGAGUGGCGGACGGGUGAGGAAUACAUCGGAAUCUACUUUUUCGUGGGGGAUAACGUAGGGAAACUUACGCUAAUACCGCAUACGACCUACGGGUGAAAGCAGGGGAUCUUCGGACCUUGCGCGAUUGAAUGAGCCGAUGUCGGAUUAGCUAGUUGGCGGGGUAAAGGCCCACCAAGGCGACGAUCCGUAGCUGGUCUGAGAGGAUGAUCCGCCACACUGGAACUGAGACACGGUCCCGACUCCUACGGGAGGCCGCAGUGGGGAAUAUUGGACAAUGGGCGCCAGCCUGAUCCAGCCCUACCGCGGGGGUGAAGAAGGCCUUCCGGUUGUAAAGCCCUUUUGUUGGGAAAGAAAAGCAGCAGGUUAAUACCCCGCUGUUCUGACGGUACCCAAAGAAUAAGCACCGGCCAACUUCGUG
rnacentral:rRNA from 1 species